UGUGGAAACGGUUCAAAAAAGCAGCUGUACUUUUGGCCGCAGGUCCUGAGAUUUCUGUUCCACAGAUCUCUCGGAGUGCAAGUGAUUGAGAAUACAUUUGGCCGCCUUCCACUAUAUAUAUAAUAAGCUUGCUUGGGCACCACUUGAAUUAAGAUGAAGCCCUCUCCCUAAUCCUUUGAGGAGGGUUCCAAUGAACUUGUGGCUCACAAAGAAACUGCAGGUUUCAUCUACUUAAUGAAUUAGCUACCAGUUUCUGGGGAGAAUUUUAAAAAAUCACAACCAUUUUUUCCUUUUGGGUGUUCAAACAUUUCAAACUACAAACAUAUCGGCCAUUUCCCUCAAGAUGUCCUUGUUUGUGUAGUAGAAUGCUGUGCAUAGUUGUGUGUGCAAGGGAAGCUGGUAUUAUAAAUACAAGGUCUGCUAUCCGGCAACUCCUGUCUUUCUACACAGAGCCCGGCCACUUCCUUUUUACACACACACAACAAAAAAAUCAAAAUGCUUCAAGAAGAUAGAGAGCAAAUGGAAUCUAGGUCACAUCAACAAAUGAUUCAUUCUGCAAGAUAUAAGCCUAAUUAGUUAAAAAUUUGGUGACAUUAACAUAGCUGGGGUCUGACUCUGGCUGCGAAAUAAUGGAUGAGAAGCCGAAGAGAAGGUGAGCAAGAGCGCCAGGGAGGCUGGAUCAUCCCGGCGCUGGCACUGGUGUUUCAGAAGCAAAUAAGCUUCUUUAUGCAUUUUCUAUCUUUCUAUCUCUCAGCUGUGGACAGUUAGUUGCAUCUUGUCAGCUUUGACUUCUUUUGAUUAAUGCAACUUGGGCUCAAAAACAAAAUCAGAUCUUUGUUUUCUUCAUGGAAAGAUUCCCAAAAAUAGGGAGGACUGGACUGAAAUAGCAACCACCUACUGUGGCAGUUGGGCAGAGAGUUAACCGUAUAGCAGGGGGUAUGGACGCAGCUGAAUAAGAUGAUGUUCUUCAUCACCCUGUGCUUCUCUUCCUCACAAAAGUGAAUGAGGACUGUUCCCCACCCAGCUGGAAAAACAAUCAGGUGGAUUUUCUGAGCUCUGAAAAAGGUUCUUUUUCCUUGGGCACGGUCAAAUUAAUCAAAUGCGUGACAAUCUCAGUUAAUGCUAUUUUUCUCUAGCCUGUUGCCCUUCGGAGAACAGAAUGUGCUGCUCAUUCUGAGCCGGUAUUCCCACAAUCCCCUCGGGGACAACGUGCACCUCAAACUCAGAUUAACAUAGAGUGUCCUUGCUGUUUGUCAUCGGCCAAAACUUUUCUUCUUUUUUCCCUCCCUCGGGAAUAGACUGACUGUGAUCUAAUGCUGAAGGGGUUGGAGAAGAGGACAGUCUUGUUUUGUGUUGGAGCCAACGCAUGGUACUGCCAUUAGUGUGCCAGCCAUGUCAUUGGGUCCUUUUGGCACAUCCCAUGGGGAGAGAGGUAUCGGCACAUCCUGCCUACACAGAGAGCCUGUUGGUGGGCUGAAGAUAUUGUUUACUCCCAAAGAGUCCAGGAAGUUCAGGGUCAGUUCAGAAGACUCAGACAGUUCAGAAGCCUGAGACAUCCAGCCGGGCCGAACUGUUGCGAAUGCAGGCUCUUCAGCGUGACAAAUGGGCUGAACCAGUGACAGGAGCAGACAGGUCCCUGGGCACCGCAGCCAAUGUGUGGAGAGCAGAGCCGAUGACGAAAGCAGCCAUGCCUCUAGGGGUCGCAGCGGAUGCGUAGGAGGGAGUGAAAGAGAUCAGCCCGGUCUCUAAUCCAUGACUUCCACUAUCAGAGAGUUAGAGCACAUUAAAGCCGGCUCUCUGCUUUGAGCGGAUCAGUAUUGCUGAGUCCUCUCUCAAACUGAAAUAACAUAAGGAACAGGCAUAAAAUAACAAACACAUCUCACAUUCGAGGUACUCAAUCUCCAUUAAAAAAAUUAAGGACCGUAGUUGUAUGGUUAGAUCAUGAUUAAAAACCAAAUUGAGUGCCUUGGAGUUUUUGUAUUUUUUUUUACAUAGACAUGAACCCCACCUCACAAUGAGCACCUCUCCAUUUUGACAAUUAUUUACAGUAUUUGACCCCAAGGUAACAUUCCUUUUUUACUACUUUUGGAAAUCUCUUAUUUGAUCUGUUAACAUCCUGAGUUACUCCAGAAAUAUCCUUUAUGGGACAAAUGCCAUGUAAAUUAUUACACUACAAUAAAUCCUCUCCAGUCUGCCUUCUACUUUCAUGUGUUUUUUUUUUAUCUCUUGGCAUCUAGCCUUUCUAGAAUUUUCUGAAAUGACUGCAGAUUAUCAUCCAGUUUCAAGUAAUGGACUGUAUUUAUGCCAUUUUACAAGCUUUUUCUUGUACGUGUGCAAACCCUGAACUAAAACAUUUGAAAGGAAAAAAUAAAUGUUUUUUCAGAGAAAAAAUGUCACUGCAUUUAAAGUGAUGGCAACGCUUUAAAAACAACAACAAUCAAAUUAUUUAUUAACAGCUAAGUGUCCUACACAGCAAAAAUUAUUCUUUGGUCCUGUAAAUCUAACCUGUAAUUUAUACGAGAAAAUAUUAUUGCCCCGUUUUUACUCAAAUGUGUCAGACUUUAUUUAAAAUGUUACUUGUCGUUUUUUGGAGGUUAUCUAUCUUCAAAUCAAUAAGUAAAUUUGAUCCAUAAUACCCAGUAAUAUUUACAAUAUAUUUAGCAAGUUAUCACAUGCUGCUAUUCCAAAGUUAGCACCGCCCACUUUCCCAGAGGUCUGUGUGGUGCAGGCAGAGUGAGGCCUGCACUUACUAACAGUUUAAGUGUUACAGUAGUAGACUGUGUUAAUGAAUAGCCUUCAGAUAGUAGAUAGUUGUUCAUCUGAAUGUGAAUUAGCACCAUGGAGGAGAAUGCUGUGUGUCAAUAUGACUCCCCUUGCAUUUUGUUGGGCACUAAAUAUACUGGUAGUGAGGUAAGAUUGCAGUUGCCUGAAAAUGGACAUGAUGUAACACAGGACGUGCCAGACACAAGACAAUGUUGAGAAGGAUACUGAUUAUGAUAUAUUCUCUUCCAAUGACAAUGAAUCCCUUGAGAAUUAACCUCCUGUAUUCUGAACCUCGAAGAGAAGAUACUUUCUCCUCAAAAAUGAAAGAUUUUAUGGUAUCCAUCCCCAUAAAAUAGGGUAGAAUCAGUGCUGCAGAUAUGCUUUUCUCCAGGUCUUACAAUACUAAAUGUAUUAACUCACAUAUUUAUACUUUGAAUGGUGUCCAAAUUGCGCGAGUUCCCUCAUAUAAAUAUCUGUGCAUCUGGAUCGAUGACAAACUGAAUUCUAGGACACAGAUAGAUAAACCAACAAGACAAUUAAUAACUAUACUUGGAUUCCUCUAUUGGACCAAAUCCUACCUCUCAUGUGCUAGUCAGAAAUAGACUUGGCAUUGGUUUUUAUGUGUGUAUGAAGAGCUUCUUCCAAAACUCUCUGCCUACCUUGCAAUGUUUCUCAGCUGGAGCAUGACUGUUUUUCAGACUCUCUCUCAAAACAAGCUUUGUCUUGACAUCCUGCAUAUCUCAUCAGACCUAGAAAUAACAGAUUUAAGUUCCUAUGGACCACAUUCUCGAACUGACCUCCAAAAUAAAUAGAAACUGGCAUUCCUGGUCAUUAAGAAAUGUACAUGUUUUUAACAGAGUGCUUAUUGUAUAAUGGAGUUUGUUUCUCUUCUGUUAAUUAUUUUGUAUAUUUUUCAUGGUAGGGAUGUGAUUUUCCCUAUAACUGAAAUGUCAGCUUCUAUCUCCCCUCUAUUCUCACUCUCGACUAAAAAUAAUAUUUUCUAAUAUUUAACAACACCACUUACAGGUGUGUGUGUGUGUAUGAAUUAUUUCACAGAAUGCAUGCCUGUGUGAGUGGCACAUAUUAACCCUUCACUAUUGUUCACACAAAUAAUUUGUAGAAUUAGCGAGCAAUGUUGUAUGCUUCGCCUUAAAAACACAAUUUGAAGUUUAAUGUUUAACUUUCCACUCCAGCUUGGUUCCUGGCAGCAGAGGUGUUAGACUGUGGUGUGAAAUUGUGUUGGUGAACAACAUAUUCCAUACAUUCCUUCACGUUCUUGUAGGUACAGCCAAAGGAAAGUCAGACGUUAGCAACUACCUUUCUCACACAGACACACACAUCCACGCAUGCAAAUACAUAUUUACUGUUUUGUUACUUGUUAAUUAUUGAUCAUGCACUUUACUAAUAUACUACACCUAAUUGCUACCUCAUUUUAUUGUAUUAAUUGGAUUGCAUUUAUAUAGCAAUGCCCUUCCUUCUCCCAUAUCUCCCCCUCUCGUUAUUUUCCAGGGCCCUUUGUGCCCAGGUUGUUUCUUUAUCCGAGAAGUAAGUACAAGAGAUAACAGAUGUAAUUGGCUGAAGACUUAUUUUCCCUUGUAACAAGAUGUCUAAAAAUAAAAAAAUGUAAACAAAGCCUGACAUGUAGGCUAGCCAUUGCAAUACCUACCGGUGCCGAUGCCACAAGCAGAGUAAUAUAAUUUUGCUUUUGUAUAAAAUUGUAUAAAAUCUCCCUGAAACUUAGGUCAUAUUCUAGACAAUUGGUAUCCUGAGCAGAACUCUGAAACUCUGUGGAGUUGCUGUCUUCUCCAGAGUUUGUAUUAAAAAUGGCCUGAGAACUGUA